rnacentral:rRNA from 1 species
AUUGAACGCUGGCGGCAUGCCUUACACAUGCAAGUCGAACGGCAGCACGGGUGCUUGCACCUGGUGGCGAGUGGCGAACGGGUGAGUAAUACAUCGGAACGUACCUUAUCGUGGGGGAUAACGCAGCGAAAGUUGCGCUAAUACCGCAUACGCCCUGAGGGGGAAAGCGGGGGAUCGCAAGACCUCGCGCGAUUAGAGCGGCCGAUGCCUGAUUAGCUUGUUGGUGGGGUAAAAGCCCACCAAGGCGACGAUCAGUAGCUGGUCGGAGAGGACGAUCAGCCACACUGGGACUGAGACACGGCCCAGACUCCUACGGGAGGCAGCAGUGGGGAAUUUUGGACAAUGGGGGCAACCCUGAUCCAGCAAUGCCGCGUGAGUGAAGAAGGCCUUCGGGUUGUAAAGCUCUUUUGUCAGGGAAGAAACACCGGCUCUAACACAGUCCGGGAAUGACGGUACCUGAAGAAUAAGCACCGGCUAACUACGUGCCAGCAGCCGCCGUAA